UACGUAGGGGCUAGCGUUGUCCGGAAUCAUUGGGCGUAAAGCGCGUGUAGGCGGUCCGGUAAGUCCGCUGUGAAAGUCGGGGGCUCAACCCUCGAAUGCCGGUGGAUACUGUCGGGCUAGAGUGCGGAAGAGGCGAGUGGAAUUCCUGGUGUAGCGGUGAAAUGCGCAGAUAUCAGGAGGAACACCAAUUGCGAAGGCAGCUCGCUGGGACGUUACUGACGCUGGAGACGGCGAAAGCGUGGGGAGCAAACAGG
rnacentral:rRNA from 1 species